rnacentral:lncRNA from 1 species
CCUCGGGCAACUCCCGGGCCAAGUCAGGCCUGGAGUUCACCUUCUGGAGAGGAUUUUCUUGUAAUCUCGAAUGGUCUUGGCCAUCAGAGGGGCGAUUUUCUGGGCUGUGGGUUUCCGGGUGUUGAGUGCUGCCCUCAGCGGAGGCCUGGCAGGACGGGGACCGGCACCGGGAUUGGACGGCCUGACAGGGGGCACGCAGCGUGCCCUGCUGCCACUGCCAUGGCCGGAGGGGCUGAUCCCCUCCUCUGUGGGGUGCUCUGAUCCUUGGAGCCUGCGUGUUGCUGAGACUGCUACCACCACCGCCGCUGCCGCUGCCGCUGCUCUGCUUCCUCCUCCUGCUCCUCCUCCUCCUCCUUUUCUUGCUCUUCCUUCCCCUGCUGUUCUUCCUCCUCCUCCUUCUUCUGCUCCUCCUCCUUCUCCUGCUAUUCCUUCUCCUGCUGUUCUUCCUCCUCCUCCUGCUCUUCCACCUCCUCCUCCUCCUCCCCCUCCUCCCUCUCCUGCUCCUCUUCCCUCUCCUCCUCCAUUUCCUUCUCCUCCUACCAGUCUUCUUGGUAUUCUUCCUGCUCCCCUUCCUUCUCCUGCUCUUUGUAUUUCUCUUCUUCCUCCCCCUCUUUCUUGUCUGCCUCCUCUUCGUUCUCCUGCUCUUCUUGCUCCUCCUGCUCCUCCUUCUCCAGUUCUUUCUCCUGCUCUUGCUCCUCCUCCUCUUCCUUCUCCAGUUCUUUCUCCUGUUCCUCCUCCUCUUUCUCCUCCUGCUCCUCCUCCUGCUUCUCCUUCUGCUCCUCCCACUCCUCCUCGUCCUCCUCCUUGUCCUCCUCCACUUCUUCCUGGUCCUCCAAACCCAACGUUCUCCUCCUGCCUCCUGGAGGACGCAGUGCUGAAGGGGAUCAGCUUGGUCUGGUGGCCUGGGGGCCCAUUCGCCCCCGCCAAUCGGAUCCUGGUCGUCAGAGCUUGGAGUUGCUGUGCUUGGGCAUCCUGCAGCCGCAGCCAGCCCCGGAUUGCAGGACUCUAUGCGACGCAGCUCAUGAGGUGGGCACUUCUCCAACACGGGUCGAAGGACACAAUCGGGGAUGAAGCUCACGUCGUAGAUGGUGUCCAGGUUGUCGGAGAGCUCCUGGCGGAAGCGCUCAUAGAAGGCCAUCUUCUGCAGCACAGACGUGCGGGUGGAGGAAGCAGAAGAGACCCGCAACUGGGAGUGAAUUCUGAGGGGGGCGGUGUGGCGGGCUCCUGGGUCUUGUUCCUCGGGUUCCCACAGGGGUGCUCCUGCAAGGAGCCUUCCUGCAAGGCCUCGGCGGGCUUCCGGCCGUGAGCCCUGGCCCCCAGGUGCUCUGUGGAGCCAUAGUAGUGCGCGCACGGCAGCCUGGGAGUGGGA